rnacentral:lncRNA from 1 species
AGUAUUACCCCUACCAUUCUCCGACCGAUAUUUCUGUCCCCUGAAUAUCAAAGGAGCCGACAGGUGCUUUCGCUUCUUGUUGGAUGGAGUAUUCUUUGGUAGAACUGACUGUUAUUUAACGCGCGUAGUUUGAAAAUUAUUGCGACUGUCUCAUGGUGCACACGUCUCAAGGUGGCCCACUCUCCCCUAUUUCCCCGUUGUUCUCUAUGUUCCAUUUUAUUGAUGAUGCGUAGUCUUUGCACGGAUGAAUGACAGUUAACGGCAUCCUACGUCUGGCGUGAUUGGUUGUUAUCGUCGCUCAUUGAAAAUUUUGUCUUAGCGAGUCGAUUGCAAAAUUGGCACCGUGAAAAUCGAAAGUGAGCUAACUGACUCCCAUUAAACUGUGCCAGUGGUAUCUGACACUCGCUUCUUUGGGUAGUUUUUUGGUUUCUUGUUUGCUCUUUUAUGUCCAUUUAAUUCCCACGAGAAGCUUUGGAAAGGGUGGUCCACUUCUAUACAGCCCCCUUUCCCAAGGGUACCAUUUGUGAUAUUGUUACAUCCAGUAUCUUUCAUCCCUCGCUACGGGAACUUACAGCUUGGCAGUAUAGUCGAGCCGUUUAUUGGUCGAAAGUCUCACAACCCAACAUUAGGGCUGUUGGGUGGGAUCUCUUUUAAGCCUCCUCGCCGGCGACAAGAUCAUAUGGCUCCCAAGGGGCGCUAAAUUACCUUACAAACAUUUAGGCCCGGUCUUUUCACCUCCGAAUAAAUAUGCUCUUAUCUGGCAGUUAGCUAUCUGGAGGAUAAAUAUUUAUUCGCCAGAUAAAAUGUACCCGUCUUUUCACGUCAAUUUAUGUUCCAGUUAGUUAUCCGGUAGAUAAGCUUAAAACUUUAACUUAACCUAACAUAAUUAGAUUCAAAGUAUUUCAAAGAUGAUUUUAUCGAUUUUAUUUCCAUUUUGGAAGAAGGAAUGAAGGAAAUAAGGAAAACAUUGAUUAUGCUGAAAUAGUUUACUGGAGAGCUUGAACAAGAGGUAAAUCCAUUUUAAAUUAGAGGAAAACUGUUGAUUUGUAUGUAAAAUAGAAGACAAAGACAAGUUUAAAUAAAGACAAGCUAGCUAAUGAAACAGAUGCAGUGAUAUGACAAACACCUAGAAGAUGGAAUCCUGUGUUCUCAAAGAAAAAGCUAGUUCCAGAAAUAAGCUACCAAUAAUAAACUAGAGAAUGUAUUACAAGAAAGAACAACGCUAAUACCCAACAUAGCUCAAUUGCUUCAGAUAGAAAAAGAGGAGGAAAGGGUAGAACACAAGCGUGCCAGAGAAAAUUAAAGGGCAGAAGAGACACAAAAAUUCAUUGAUUUAUUAAAUUUAAUAAUUAAAUUAUACAAAGGACAAUUAAAUAAAGAAUAAAAAAUUA